rnacentral:rRNA from 1 species
UACGUAGGGUGCAAGCGUUGUCCGGAUUUAUUGGGCGUAAAGAGCUCGUAGGCGGUUUGGCGCGUCGGAUGUGAAAACCCAGGGCUCAACCCUGGGCCUGCAUUCGAUACGGGCAGACUAGAGUAUGGCAGGGGAGACUGGAAUUCCUGGUGUAGCGGUGAAAUGCGCAGAUAUCAGGAGGAACACCGGUGGCGAAGGCGGGUCUCUGGGCCAAAACUGACGCUGAGGAGCGAAAGCGUGGGGAGCGAACAGG